rnacentral:rRNA from 1 species
UACGGAGGGUGCAAGCGUUGUCCGGAAUCACUGGGCGUAAAGGGCGCGUAGGCGGCUCAUGAAGGCUGUGGUGAAAGUCCGGGGCUCAACCUCGGAUCGGCCGUGGCGACUCGUGGGCUGGAGCACUGUAGAGGCGGGCGGAAUUCCGGGUGUAGCGGUGGAAUGCGUAGAGAUCCGGAAGAACACCAGUGGCGAAGGCGGCCCGCUGGGCAGUGGCUGACGCUGAAGCGCGACAGCGUGGGGAGCAAACAGG